rnacentral:rRNA from 1 species
GAUGAACGCUGGCGGCGUGCCUAAUACAUGCAAGUCGAGCGAACAGACGAGGAGCUUGCUCCGCUGACGUUAGCGGCGGACGGGUGAGUAACACGUGGAUAACCUACCUAUAAGACUGGGAUAACUUCGGGAAACCGGAGCUAAUACCGGAUAAUAUAUUGAACCGCAUGGUUCAAUAGUGAAAGACGGUUUUGCUGUCACUUAUAGAUGGAUCCGCGCCGCAUUAGCUAGUUGGUAAGGUAACGGCUUACCAAGGCAACGAUGCGUAGCCGACCUGAGAGGGUGAUCGGCCACACUGGAACUGAGACACGGUCCAGACUCCUACGGGAGGCAGCAGUAGGGAAUCUUCCGCAAUGGGCGAAAGCCUGACGGAGCAACGCCGCGUGAGUGAUGAAGGUCUUCGGAUCGUAAAACUCUGUUAUUAGGGAGGAACAAAUGUGUAAGUAACUAUGCACGUCUUGACGGUACCUAAUCAGAAAGCCACGGCUAACUACGUG